AGGAUGAACGCUGGCGGCGUGCUUAACACAUGCAAGUCGAACGAUGAAGGCUGGAGCUUGCUCUGGCUGGAUUAGUGGCGAACGGGUGAGUAACACGUGAGUAACCUGCCCCAGACUCUGGGAUAAGCGCUGGAAACGGCGUCUAAUACCGGAUACGAGCUUCCACCGCAUGGUGAGGAGCUGGAAAGAAUUUCGGUCUGGGAUGGACUCGCGGCCUAUCAGCUUGUUGGUGAGGUAAUGGCUCACCAAGGCGACG
rnacentral:rRNA from 1 species